rnacentral:lncRNA from 1 species
AUGAUCUUGUUGUUGCUUCUAGUUGCCAGUCUUGGUGUGGGCCUUGCUUAUGUUGAAAAUCAUGAAGUGGAGUAUGGAAACAGAUUCAGGAUGAGGGUGUCAAGAAGGGUUCACUUUAUCGAGUUCAUCCCCAAGAACAAAUCAGAAGGGACGAUCUUGUGGAACCGUGACGAAGCUCCGCCCAGAGAGGGCAGUAGAUGGAAGAUGAUUGGGACCUUAUAUACCAUCAAUUCUUUAGCCCAAAAAGACAGUGGCCGCUACAUAUUCAAAGACAACUAUGGGGAAUUGAUGCAUGCGAAGAUCAUUGACGUAAAAGAGGUCACAAAGAGCUAUACCCUGGAGACUAAUGAAGUCCUGAACAUCACUUUUGAUCUGGAACCGCACUCCUGCAACAUUUACUUCUUCCCUGGUGAAAACAGUAAGACUGCGAUAGUCCUUAAGGGCAGGCUGCAGCAUGAUUCGAAACAAGUGGAUUGCGUGGGGUUUGAGCUUUUAAAGCCAUGUGGGAUUGUACACAAGGCCAUCCAAAAGACAUGCAUCGGACGGUUUGAAGUCAGAGAUGAUAAUGAUGACAAAGCCUUGGUAGUGUUCCUGGAAAUGGAAGAGCCACAGUUCAGUCCGACUUACCUCGGUAUUGGUGGUGGUGCGUUGUUCGUCACACUGUGCUGGUGUUGCUGCAAGCACUGCUGUUGUGGUGAGAGCUCCUCAGCAAAGGACAACUCAGAAGCAGCUGAGGAGAAUGAUAGCGAGCCUGCUGUGUAUUACCAUGAGUUUGAACCUGUGGGACCGGGAUCAAACCAGCGCUGUGAACUCUCUAAUCCACCCAACACUGAUGAGGCUCCUGAUGCUCCAGUUGGCCCGAUGAUACACAGUUCUGCUGCUAUGGAUGCUCCACCUGCUUAUCGUGAGGUUACACCGCUGGCGAAGCAGGAAGAGGCUCCAACCAUCACUCCCAACUCUGACGCUGAGCCACGGUUUGAAUUGAAGGGGACAGUUUUCAAUUCUGAUGCCCCACUCAGCUCAUCCUCAACGUACUGUGAUGUUUAUACCUCAGAAAAAAUCAACUUCCUCUGA